AGGAUAAAAGUUUAAAACAUUAAAUUUGCAAUUUAAAAAUAUUGAUUUAUCAAUUUAUCUUA
rnacentral:tRNA from 1 species